AUAUCAUAUUAAAUUGUAGUGUUAUAAAUUAGUAGCUAACCAAUUUCUUAAAUUGAUUAAUCAAUUAGUGUCUAAGGAGUAUUUCAAGUACAAUAGUUCUUUAAUUGAUUCCAUUUGCUGACCUGGCUAAUUCAUUGGUAUCUAAGAAAAGCAACGGAAGGACCCUAUCAAUCUUAACACUUUCUUAACCAAUUGGAUUAGUUCGAAUCUUGAAUGAUGGUUGCUCAG
rnacentral:lncRNA from 1 species